AGGAAAAGAAGAAAGCUGAAAACACACUGAGGAUUAUGGGAGAGGGGCAAGUGCAUGAAGCUUCUCAAUGACAUACAGACACUCUAAAAGCUCAAGAGAUCAAUUAUUCAACUUCAAGAACUGAAAUUUGAACACAGAUUUUGAGCUUCCAAAUCAGGAGAAAAAGAAGUGUUCUAUAAGAAAUUUGGACAAGACUCUGCAAGAAGUUAAGAGGUCCUUAAAGGCAACUGUGAAUUAACGGAGACUGGUUUUGAGAAAAUCAGUCCUGAUUUGUUUCUCUUGGAGUUUUCUUCUUUAUGUGAUCCUUCAUAAAAGCUGCUAAUAUGGGAAAGAUUGAAAUCAGCAAGUUUCUGGCUGUAAGCUAAAAGAGGCUCUUGAAUCAUAUUUCCGCCUGCUUAGCAAAUUUCUCUUGCGACAAUUGGAUGUUAUUUGGGGUUCCAUACUAGCAGGAAGAAGUACAAGCAAAGCUAAGUCAUUUUGAGAAUAAAUAUUAUCUCUCUAUAUAUUUGUAAAUGUUAUUUUCUUUUUUUUUUGAGGUUUAUGAUUGAUCCUUGGCAUGUGUCCCCUUGUGUAUUGCUCUACUAAAAA
rnacentral:lncRNA from 1 species